rnacentral:tRNA from 1 species
GCGAGUAUGUCGAAAAUAGGUAGCCGGAUAAAUCUUAGGCAUUUAUGAAUUUAAUUAUUCUUAAGAGUUCAAGUCUCUUUACUCGUA